AUACGGAGGGUGCAAGCGUUGUCCGGAUUUAUUGGGUUUAAAGGGUGCGUAGGCGGUACGUUAAGUCAGUGGUGAAAUCCCUCAGCUCAACUGAGGAACUGCCAUUGAUACUGGCGUACUUGAGUACAGACGAGGUAGGCGGAAUUUAUGGUGUAGCGGUGAAAUGCAUAGAUACCAUAAAGAACACCGAUAGCGAAGGCAGCUUACUAGACUGUAACUGACGCUCAGGCACGAAAGCGUGGGGAGCGAACAGGAUUAGAAACCAUAGUAGUCC
rnacentral:rRNA from 1 species